rfam:Neotoma lepida isolate 417 scaffold_61893, whole genome shotgun sequence.
GGGAAACAGGCAAAGGGGCCAGCCUCAGGCCCCAAAACAAUGUUGUGGGGCA